GGAAUAUUGGGCAAUGCCCGCAAGGGUGACCCAGCAACGCCGCGUGGAGGAUGAAUGUCGUAAGAUUGUAAACUCCUGUUAGAGGGGAAGAAUAGUACCGGUUGGACCGGUAUAUGACUGUACCCUCAGAGAAAGCCCCGGCUAACUACGUGCCAGCAGCCGCGGUAAUACGAAGGAUGCAAGCGUUAUCCGGAAUUAUUGGGUUUAAAGGGUGCGUAGGCGGACUAAUAAGUCAGUGGUGAAAGCCUGCAGCUUAACUGCAGAAUUGCCAUUGAUACUGUUAGUCUUGGGUACAGUUGAGGUAUGAGGAAUGUGUCAUGUAGCGGAGAAAUGCUUAGAUACGACACAGCACUCCGAUUGAGAAGGCAGCUUGCUA
rnacentral:rRNA from 1 species